rnacentral:rRNA from 1 species
GACGAACGCUGGCGGCGUGCUUAACACAUGCAAGUCGAACGGAAAGGCCCUGCUUUUGUGGGGUGCUCGAGUGGCGAACGGGUGAGUAACACGUGAGUAACCUGCCCUUGACUUUGGGAUAACUUCAGGAAACUGGGGCUAAUACAGGAUAGGAGCUCCUGCUGCAGGGUGGGGGUUGGAAAGUUUCGGCGGUUGGGGAUGGACUCGCGGCUUAUCAGCUUGUUGGUGGGGUAGUGGCUUACCCAGGCUUUGACGGGUAGCCGGCCUGAGAGGGUGACCGGCCACACUGGGACUGAGGUGCGGCCCAGACUGCUACGGGUGGCAGCAGUGGGGAAUAUUGCACAAUGGGCGGAGGCCUGAUGCAGCAACGCCGCGUGCGGGAUGACCGCCUUCUGGUUGUAGACCGCUUUCGCCUGUGACGAAGCGUGAGUUACGGUAAUGGGUAAAGAAGCACCGGCUAACUACGUU